GACUGCAACCCAGGAUUGCAUUGAGUGGGAAGAUACAAUUUUUACAGCAUCACCAAAAAGCAUAAGAUUAUUUGGAUCCUCUGAUGUAACGCCAGUCCAGCAACAGCAGCGGUGGAAGCAAUGGCCACAAGUCCCACUACUGCUGUUACGACGAUCCCAACCGCUCUUUGGCUGCGGUGGACAAGAUCUGCAUUACUUUGUAAAUUUGAGUAACCCCAGUAGAUUUACUCCAGAGAAGGACCGUCCUGCUUUGUCUGCAAGAGCAGGGCUUAUCGGGAACGUCUCGUUUGCGAGCACGCAGUCCUCUACAGCACCCGGCCCAACUUUUAUCAUAGUGAAGAAUUAUAGGAAUUACCUGAAAAGACUGCUCACUGUAUAUACUGCCUAGU